GGCUAAUGUUGUCAUUUGCUUUCACUGGGGCCAAAGAGAAUGGUGCACCCCCCUCUGGCUGUCACUACUCCCUGUUGUGGGAGGCAAUCCCUGCCUCUUGAGAAUAGUUUGUCAGUCCCUUCAGCACCGUGAUUGUACUUGAAGUUACAUCCGGCCGUGUGACUUGCUCCAGGCAAUAGAAUGGAAGCAGAAGCAACAAGUGCCGCUUUGGGAUGGCCUUGAAGAGAAGGAUUUGUCAUGCUCCCCCACCCCCACCAGUUUUACUGGAGACAUGAGGGGCCCAUAAUGAACCUUUUCUGUCCUUAAGCCAUGAAGAUUUCAGCACUUGUUCC